UUAAUGAGAGUUUGAUCCUGGCUCAGGACGAACGCUGGCGGCGUGCCUAAUACAUGCAAGUAGAACGCUGAGGUUUGGUGUUUACACUAGACUGAUGAGUUGCGAACGGGUGAGUAACGCGUAGGUAACCUGCCUCAUAGCGGGGGAUAACUAUUGGAAACGAUAGCUAAUACCGCAUAAGAGUAAUUAACACAUGUUAGUUAUUUAAAAGGAGCAAUUGCUUCACUGUGAGAUGGACCUGCGUUGUAUUAGCUAGUUGGUGAGGUAAAGGCUCACCAAGGCGACGAUACAUAGCCGACCUGAGAGGGUGAUCGGCCACACUGGGACUGAGACACGGCCCAGACUCCUACGGGAGGCAGCAGUAGGGAAUCUUCGGCAAUGGACGGAAGUCUGACCGAGCAACGCCGCGUGAGUGAAGAAGGUUUUCGGAUCGUAAAGCUCUGUUGUUAGAGAAGAACGUUGGUAGGAGUGGAAAAUCUACCAAGUGACGGUAACUAACCAGAAAGGGACGGCUAACUACGUGCCAG
rnacentral:rRNA from 1 species